AUUGAACGCUGGCGGCAGGCCUAACACAUGCAAGUCGAGCGAAUGAGGGAAGCUUGCUUCCCGAUUUAGCGGCGGACGGGUGAGUAAUGCCUAGGAAUCUGCCUAUUGGUGGGGGAUAACGUUCCGAAAGGAACGCUAAUACCGCAUACGUCCUACGGGGGAAAGUGGGGGAUCUUCGGACCUCACGCUAAUAGAUGAGCCUAGGUCGGAUUAGCUAGUUGGUGAGGUAACGGCUCACCAAGGCGACGAUCCGUAGCUGGUCUGAGAGGAUGAUCAGCCACACUGGAACUGAGACACGGUCCAGACUCCUAUGGGAGGCAGCAGUGGGGAAUAUUGGACAAUGGGCGAAAGCCUGAUCCAGCCAUGCCGCGUGUGUGAAGAAGGUCUUCGGAUUGUAAAGCACUUUAAGUUGGGAGGAAGGGUUGUAAGCUAAUAUCUUGCAGCUUUGACGUUACCAACAGAAUAAGCACCGGCUAACUCUGUGCCAGCAGCCGCCGUAAGAC
rnacentral:rRNA from 1 species